GAGCCUACGGGGGGCAGCAGUGAGGAAUAUUGGUCAAUGGGCGGAAGCCUGAACGAGCAAUGCCGCGUGAACGAGGAGGGUCUUCGGAUCGUAAAGUUCUGUUGAAGGGGAAAAAGAGCGGAGAGAGGAAAUGCUUUCUGAUUGAUAUUACCCUUCGAGGAAGUCACGGCUAACUACGUGCCAGCAGCCGCGGUAAUACGUAGGUGGCGAGCGUUAUCCGGAAUGAUUGGGCGUAAAGGGUGCGUAGGCGGCCUGCUAAGUCUGGAGUGAAAGGUACCGGCUCAACCGGUACAGGCACUGGAAAC
rnacentral:rRNA from 1 species